CACAGCACCAGGUUUAGGGUUCCCCAUUGUCUGGGCGAGGUCGUCUGAAACACUAGAUCUACCAGAUGCCCUGCUUGAUUCGACCAAAAAAUACACAAAAUUUUGCCGUUAUUCUUCGGAGCCUUGUUCGAUCUCAACAAGCUAACAGUAUUUCCUUUCCCUGUUUAUAUAGGCACCUAGUAGGAUGUUAGAUCGAGCGGAGAAAAAGUUCUUGCGCGGCCCGACAACAAAUUAGUACGGGAUUUUCAUUAUCCAUUUUCAUAGCAGAAUCUUGAUAUUUCGCGUGAGUUUGGGCAGUUAGCUUGCAGAUUCGAUGCCCAUUUUGUUCAGAUUAGUCCCAGAGAUUAAGCGAUAGCUAUAGUAGGCAUAGCCAGAAAGAUAUAAGUUCUUUUUUACUUACGCUUGUCUCCGCACUAAGAAGUUUAUUACCCUUGCAGUUUGCUUUCUCUAAUCUCUGCUAAUUUGGGUUGGUGGUUCCUUCAUACGGCCUCUUGCUUCUUAGGCCUUAGGCCUAUUUGUACGCCAGUUCUUCAUUUUAAGGACUGCUUCCAUGAACUUUAUUUCCCUUGUAUAAGAUCCCUAUAAUUGUCCUCGCGUGGCUGUGAUGACAACAAAGAUUCUUCGUCAUACCUUAAUUUCAGUUAAGGACCAAAAGUGAUGACUUUAUUUGUGCGUGUCUGAGCUGACGCUCUUUUUAUAGGUGCAGCCUUGUCUAAAUGUUUUGUUUCCCUUAUCUUUGUGCCGUUUUUUUUGCAAUUUUUGUUCAUGUUUUUAGGUGAGCACGACUAGCUUAGUAUUUUUCGUGUUCUCAAAUAUCUAUUUUUUUUGUAAUUUUGGUUCAUGUUUUUAGGUGACAACUGUGUGUAGAUGAACUAGCUCACUAUUUUUUUGUUCUCCAAUAUAUAUUGCGGUCUAUAACAAUUGUGCAUGGGAGUUCAACAAAUUUGUCAAGCCAUUGCUACUUCAUUCGAUGGCUAUUGACUUCAGUUGCUCCUAUAUUAAUGCAAGGCAAAGAUAGCCCUGGUUCAUCGAAAAAUGGUUGGACUUUGGGUUAGGCCUGCCUUCAGCAUUCUACAAAUUUGAUCCUUUUGUGCUUCUAAUCUGUUUUUUUUCAGCAUCUUUAUGCAUGGCUGUGAUGAUGAAAACUUCGUUUCUCGAUGCUGAGACUUGAUCUAUUCAAGGAUAAACUUUUGAUGAGAAUUGCGUGCCUGAGCCAAUGAACGUGCUUCAUAAACAUCGGGCAAGAGACUGGCUUUAUGAUCCAUCAAUCCUUCUUCCUAGCUGCUGGUUGCUUGGCUUCUAUACUGUAUUGGAUUCACCAUCUACUGGAGGACUGAACUUACCUGGUUUAUUCUGCUGCUUCAGUUGAGAGAGCAGGGGCACUGUGUGUUGUCGAUUAUUUAACUGUGGAGCAUUGUUGCCUUGUUCUGGUUUGUUUGCCUUCUCAUUGCUCAGCAUUACCUUGCAAACAUGUAGAAGUAUCAAAUACUCUGUUGUAGUACAGAGGGAGUAAAAGUUAAUGUUACUUUCUGCUAAAAAUAAAACUAUCCUGAUACACAAGAUAUAGCGGCCAGAACUUUUGACUAGUUUUUGUUCACCACUCGCCAAAGCUAUGGAACUUACUGUCUUGAAAGUUGACACACAUUUGAAAAUAUUUUACCAUUAGUAUGUGAUCAAAGGCGCCACACAAAUGGAUGAUAUUAUUGAAUCCAUAGCUCUGGAAUAGUUCUGGUAUAUAUAAGAUCAAAACUCUGUUUCUGUGUAUACUAACCUGUUUAACCUAUCUGUCCAGCAGCUAUCGCUUCCUCUCAUCAGUUCAUAAGUAGCUUUUGCUAUCUUGGAGCUACGCUGUGAUCCUGGGGAUGCUAAUGUGCCAGCAGCAGGUGUCUCUUUUGCAGUCUUUCUAGUUUGGUUUUCCACAGGCUUUCUUGAACGAUGGCAGUUUCUAUUGAUGUGCGUCUCACAAUACUUGUGCUCGGCCAUCACUUCCUUUGAGCACUGCCAUUUCUUGUCAUCGGUUUGGCCGCAUCUUCCAGGUUCUGGGUUCGAACCUGUGUUAGUGAACCCUUGAUAGACAGGCCUCCAUGUCACUUCAUUACUCGGAAGUAUGUCAUGCCCUGCUUGCAUUUGUACUCUAGAGUAGUCUGUAUUGUGGCUGCUCGAUACAUAUAGACCGUUCGGUUACAAAAUGUAAACAUAUAGUUGUGACAGCUUGUAUGAGGCACUUUAUGUUAUGACUACUUGCGUGGUCUAGUUCACAAAUCUUAGUGUGGAAAUCUGUUGAAAUGAUAUGUGCAACUUCAUUGGCAUACAUAUGCAUCAGUGGACUUGUUUUGUAAAUGAAUCUGUUUUUA